rnacentral:rRNA from 1 species
UACAGAGGUGGCAAGCGUUGUUCGGAAUUACUGGGCGUAAAGGGCGCGUAGGCGGUUCGUUAAGUCCUGUGUGAAAUCCCCCGGCUCAACUGGGGAACUGCACAGGAAACUAGCGGGCUUGAGUUCGGGAGAGGGAAGCGGAAUUCCGGGUGGAGCGGUGAAAUGCGUAGAUAUCCGGAGGAACACCGGUGGCGAAGGCGGCUUCCUGGACCGACACUGACGCUGAGGCGCGAAAGCCAGGGGAGCAAACGGG